rnacentral:rRNA from 1 species
AAGACCUUGCGCUUUUGGAGCGGCCGAUGUCUGAUUGGCUUGUUGGUGAGGUAAAGGCUUACCAAGGCUUCGAUCAGUAGCUGGUCUGAGAGGACGGCCAGCCACACUGGGACUGAGACACGGCCCAGACUCCUACGGGAGGCAGCAGUGGGGAAUUUUGGACAAUGGGGGCAACCCUGAUCCAGCCAUGCCGCGUGAGUGAAGAAGGCCUUCGGGUUGUAAAGCUCUUUCAGCCGGAACGAAACGGUUACGGUUAAUACCCGUGACUACUGACGGUACCGGAAGAAGAAGCACCGGCUAACUACGUGCCAGCAGCCGCGGUAAUACGUAGGGUGCAAGCGUUAAUCGGAAUUACUGGGCGUAAAGCGUGCGCAGGUGGUUUUGUAAGUCAGAUGUGAAAUCCCCGGGCUUAACCUGGGAACU